UUUAUUUCUUUAUAGAGAAACCAUAAUAACAUAUAAAAGUACCAUAUAAAAGUGUUUUGCUAUAAAAAAAUGCUUCCUAGGAAACUGUUCUAAUACAUUCCUAAUAUAGAAAAGUAAUACAAUUCUAAUCAAAUUCUAAAAUCAUCAUUCUAAAAUUAGAUUUAGAUUUAUUAUAACUUUAGCAAUAUAAAUUACUUGAAAUUCCGUUUCCACUUGUAAUCAUCCUCUAUACACUAUACUAACCAAAAUUUAUAUUAAAGCUAACUACUAAAUGUUACUUAUUCCUAACCUCCCAAAUUUCACUAGGUUGCGAGCAAAUUUCAAGCGCCUUUUCCAAACGCGAAAUAUUCACGUCAGCUUGAACGAAACAGGAUCGAGAGAAGUGAGAGGCGGCGUGCUUAUAGUAUGUAUAUGGUGGCGCGAUCUUAUGCAAUCUCAUGAUAGGAAUCAUGGGUCAGUCACUUGGCCGGCUCAUGGUGCUUCCAUGCGUUAUGAUUCUCCAGCCAGGAAGAAAAACUGUCGUACGGCAGAUAGCUUUUAUCGAAGACAUAGAAAACUAGCGUUUACGGAUUCCACUAUUGGCAUAAAUGAUACAUAAUGGUAAUAGUACAGUACAUGAUUGCUGAUGGAAGAAAGAUGAUGGCAGUUGGAAUUAUAGAAAUUAGAGUAUGGCAUAUAUUGCAUGGAUGAAUAUGGAAUAUGAUUUGGAGAGGUUAAGAUAACGAGAAUGCGGGUGAUUAGAUCUGAUGUUGAUUAGUUAGUAAAUUAUAUGAUAAAGAAAGCGUAUAUAGUCUAAAUAGGUUACUCUGUUAUAAUAAUUCAUAUUACAUAUAUAUACAUAUGUAUGUAUGUAUCCUUUUAUUCUUAUCAUAUCAAGGGAUUAGAUUUGAUGUUGGUUGUUCAAUUAUUAAAUUGAAAUUGAUAUGAUACGAAUAGAGAAACGUAUAGUAAAUGUUUAAUAAAUUUUAUCUAUGGAUUUUUUCAAAGUUUAUUGAUAUAAACGUUUGCCUUUUGUUGAAAUAUGUAUACGUUCUUCUGGUGUCCUGUGUACUUAGCUCAGAGUAUUCAAGCAAAGUAAUCUAAUUACUGUAUACAUAUUCUCUUUAUCAUAUAAAAAGAAAUAAAAUAUCUUAACUUUUUUGUGUUUUUUAAGAGGUUAGAUUUAAAUACAUGAAAGACUCAUUCUUCACAGAGGGAAAAAAGUCCUAUUCCAAUUUUAGAAAGUAACACAGAGAAAGAUUUUGUGCUCGAAAGUUGUAAAGUAUUGAUUAUCGAUUGAAUGGCGAUUGAAUUUUUCUUUAUUUUUCCGCUUAGGACGAUUUUCUUCAAUUUGAUUGAACUUUUAAUAGAACAAUCAGAUAUUAGAAUGUAUUACAAUGAUAAGAUUCAAAAGUUAAGAGAACUGACAUAUUAAUUAAAUUAUCACGGAAUGUAGAUUUGUAGAUCUGAAUGUAAAUUUUGUGAGACGAUUGUUGACUAUAUGGAGUUAGAGAAUAGAAAGUGAAUGUAUUGACGAAUAAUGCUUCUAUAGUAACUACCAGUGAGAUUGAUGUAAAAUCGAAUAACUAGAAUUGCUGCUCAGCGAACGUCCUUGAAAUUCAUCCUCUCACUCCUACUUCUAUAGAAAAUUACAUUCCUAACCUUCUCCAUCAAACAAGCGUCAUCUUAAACAUAUCAAGUUAAAAUUUAUGGUAAGCCAAUCAUUAUAAUUCCAAUACUAAAAAAAUUAACUCCAGCUAACUUCCAGGAUUAUUUCUAUCGUAUAUCCUCGAAAAGUUUUGUCAGAUAUAAAAAAGAGGUAAUAAAUAUCCUUUUAGAACUACAGAAUGACGCAGAAGUUCCAAAUAUGUUUCAUGAUGCCCAUAAAAUUUUAUCACAAUUUUUCUCUUGUUACUUUCAAUAGUCUCUUUUGAAUAAAAGAAAAUAUAUUAAAAAUUAUAUACUUAUAAAAAGGAAAAAUCGUGAUAAGAACUGCGUUACUUUUGCAUUAUCUUAUACAUCAAAUAUAAUUCUCAUCAAAUUGAAAUUGAUAAUCUACCCUUGAAAAUUCCCUCUUAUUAAAAUAUUCGAGAUUAAUUACUAAUUGCAGUCUUAUUGCAGUGUUACCAACCUAUGUAACGCACGUUACAGAUUACAAAAUGUACGAGACAAUGCAGAGAAUGACAUGUUAUCUGGAGUUAUUCAAUAGAGAGGGCAGGUGUUUUCUACUGGUCGAACCGCUCAAGUACAUGGGUACAAGUAGAAUGGUUAUGGGUGCUGUGUAAUCAUCAGCUCGCCGUGUAUCCGGGCAUUGAAUUCGAGGAUUCUCCCCGACCUCUUCAGAUCCCCUCCUCAUUGUACGCUGCUUUGGUUACUUGUCUUUCGCAAGAUGAAUGGCCAGGACCGUGUACAUCCAAUCACCAGGAAGAAACGAUCAAACCUGUAAUCGAUUCUGUAGAGAUAACACUUGAUUUUGUAAUCCUUUAUUACGAGAUAAUUUUGUUUAUUACAUAAAGCUAGGUAUCUAGGAAAUUUCGGAGAACUAGUAAUUCUGUGAAAUUAAUAGCUGAUUUUUUAAUUUUUACUACAUGAUAUUUUUCUUUUUUAUCAUAGAAAAACUGGAUGUCAAUGAAACUUUAGAAAUUUGAGUGAUUGAAAAUUUAUUGAUUUUGGAGAAUUUAAGAUCAUAAAAGUAACAAUUGAUUUAUCUUACAAAUUGCCUUUAUAUUAUAAAAGUAGGAUACUUAAAAAAUUCUUUAAAUUUAUGGCAAUUUACAAAUAAGAUCGGCUUAUGUUAGCAUAAAAUAUCGAUCUAUAAUAUGGUUAUAGCAGGCCAAUUUACAUACUUCUUUAUUAAGGAGAUCAAUAAAAUGGGGGAUUUACGAGAGUUUUGAAACAAGGCAUCGAUAGCUACCUUGGUCCGUGAUGUGGGACAGAACAGGAAGAAACGACAAUGACGUCUAUAGAUGUGACGCCAAUUCGUUUCUUGGCAAUGUACGGAAACACAUAAUCUUGACUGUAUCUAGUCUUUAUAGCCGUUUGGUAUAAACUCAUUCCCAUUUUAUUGCAUUUAUGUCCUUACUAUUGAUUUGAAAAUCAAUCUUUUUCUUUAUUUUAAUAAUUCUCUAUAUAUACAAAUAAUUUCUAUAAUCUUAAAUAAAUGAAGAAAUAAUUAUACAAAUAGCUGAGAGUUCCUAAGGUUUUUGAUGGCAUAUUCAUGCGUAGGAAAUCAUUUGGUUUACAUGUACAGACAUUGAAACACAAGUACUUACGUAUGUAUAUACGAGAUACAGCAAGUACACGUACCUAAUCGGAUUUUUCUGCGUGGUACCGGUGAAAGGGAAAAGAUACCAGCGCGGUGCGGUAGUCUGGCAGGCCUAGAUACCCAAGAUCUGUCUGUCCUCUCAUUUGUAUUCAGCAAAGUUCACGUUAUUUUAAGAUUUUCAUCUUCCAUAGAAUGUUUGCUUUCCUUCUCAUUUUGUUUAUUUGUAGGUUACUACCAUGGUACUACAUGUUAUAGCAAAUUGUAAAAUAUCAAUGAAGAGAAAGCUAUAGUUAUUCUUUGUUUAUCUGUAAUGGAGAUCAAGACAAAAACUUCCACCUAGUAAUUGAUCAUUAAAGUUGUCAAAAUACUAUACAAACAUAACAUUGAUACAUAAUAAUUAUUAUUAUGGUAUAUAUGGGAUAUUAUGGUAAUACCAUAAUAAUCAAUAUAUAAAUCAACAUAUAACAAAGAAGAUUCUAUAGAAAAGCAAAUAAACAUCGCCCCCAGGAAAAAGAUAGAGCUACUCGAUCUCAAACUCUUUACACACUCAAACAACGUAAUAUCGUAACAAUUAAGUGACAAUAAAGAAGAUUAGAUUCCAUUGUUAAACGUCGUGUCUGGCAAAACAUAUGUACUACGUGACGAACUGAUAUUAGUCAAACGCACAAGAAUUUAGAAAGUAACGGGUCACUUACGAGCCUCAAUUACUCUCAACAUCGAACGAUACGUUUGCAAAACGUUUUAAUAUUUCAAAGUACCGAGGGAAGGUCUCAGCUUAGAAAGUAUACGAUUCUUAUCUCACGGAUGAAUAAUAUUCCGACCAGGGAGCAUCGAUUCACCUGAGGGUGAUAAAAGGAAUCGUAAAUUUCUCUUACUUUCACUCUCGUUCGUUUACAUUGUUACGGAUAAUCGAUCGAAUGUAGUUUGCUGAUUAGAAUGGAUUACCAGGUAUCCUUGCGAGAUUAACCUAACAAUGAUAAAGCUUCCCUUCGUCAGUUUGGAUUUCAUUCUUUAUCUUUAUUUUGUCUUCUUCGUCCAUCCUUUGUUUCCAUUUUAUUGAUUUUUAGAUUAUUUUUAUCAAAUUUCUUUUCCUUUUUAUUUUUAUUUAUAUUUUUUCUCCCGAUAUCUUUUAUACUUUUUAGUAUUUUUAGUUUCAUUGCUAUAUCUCUCAAUUUCUCUGUCAACUUUGUUUUCUUUUACUGUGUUCAUUGUACUCGUUCCCUUCCUUUUGACUUUCUACGUAUAUCAUAUCUAUAUUAUAGGGAAUCGAUUUCUUUUUCUUACAUAUAAAACAAUUCACUAAACGCUGUUAACAGAUCUUGCUCUUAUGAAAUUGCUGAUGUUUCUAACCAACGACUCUAGUUAUCUCUUUCUAUCAUUAUACAAUUUAAUCUCUCCUAAGUUUUGCUACAUCGAACUUAAUUUUACUUUUUAAUACAUUUCCACAAAUUCUAAAUAAAAAAAGACAACCAUAUCUCAUGUCCUUUAUCAACCAGUUUUACUCUUUUCCCAGCGAGAGGGGCUGUCAAUAAAACUCCUAAUUAAUGAACUUUGUAAUCAACAAAAAUAACCUGAAAGUCUAUAUCAUUUUUCUUCAUUAUCUCCAACAAGCUUCUAGCGAAACCGAAAGCGAAAAGCUAGGAUUAAAAGGAAAAAAGGAAGUCGUAUCGUGCAAGCUAAUUUUGGUGAACGUGUUUCCGCGAUGGCACACGGAAACAACCUGAGGCAACCAGCCCAUCAAACUAACCGCCUUUCUUCCUCCUGGUACUAGAAAGCUUCCAUGGAAUUACACAAAAUUACAAUCGGACGUCAAGCUUGGCCUUUUCUAUUCCUAUCCCAUUCUUCGCCCGUAUUGCGUUACAUCUGGAGGAUACACGAAGUCCUAGAAACGAUGGAUUACCAUCAUGAAUCUAAUUGAUUGCGAAGACAAUGGAUUUUUCUAUCUGUGACAACAUUGCCUCCACUUUGGGGAUCGUCGUAGGUGAAAGCGAGACAAAUUCCUCCACUCCACUGUGCCCAGCCCCCUACUGCUCUUUCUCUGUAAUUACUUUAAUAAUCCACCUUCAUAUCAACCUUAUUUCCAAUGUCCUAGGAACUCCUUUCCCUGGCCACACAGUUUAGGUUGUUUCUUAAGUUUGUCUGGACGAUAGAUGUGACAUCAUAUUAUUGAUAAAAUAUAAGAUUAAGUGCGAAAUUGCAAUUUUGUUUUACAUUUUACUUAAGAAGUAUAACUGUCAAUACAUAAUCUUCAAAAGGAAAGGACAUUUCCAUGUUUCAUUUUCUGCAGACAUUCCCACGACAAUAUCCAUCAUCUUUUCAUCCAUUCAUAUUCUCUCAAACAUUUCAAGUAUUCCAUCAUUGUUCAUUCAAUUACGAUUGCACCAUAGAGACUCGUUUCUGCAAACACGUAACGCAACAUGAUCUUUUAAGAGUGAUGACAAUAUUUUACAAAUGGUGUUUGAUGCUUUUCACAGAACUUCCAUUUUCUAUAUUACUAACAACCUUGGUUGGAAGCCCCCAAAAAGAAAAAAAAUACAAUUUGCGACUACCUUAAGGAAACAAUAAAAUUACGGGUAUCUACCGCUGGAAAAAGUUGUUAUAAAAAAAUGAAACGACCUGUUUAUGUUCUUAAUUAAUAGUUGUAUGUAUCAUUAAAUUUUCCGUACUGUAAUACCGUAGAAUAGUUCCAGUAAUUUUUGCGUCGUCCAAUUUAAUAGUUAAUUAAAUUCUUUGAUCAUUAAAUUUGAAUUUUUUAAGUGGUUGAUUUUGAGAAAGAAAGAUUUUGAAAAGUCAAGUUACUAAUUACAAAAAGUUUAAGUUGAAAUUCUUUUAAAAUUAGGCUACAAAUUCAAAAAGUUUGAAAUGUAAAUUUAAGAAAUUUCUAGGUUUCCUCGUAGAGAAUAAUUUAUAAGCAGAGAACUUGAUGUCCGACCAUGUGACCACAAGCAAACCUAUUCUACUUUUCCCAACUGAAUUCCUAGAGUUCCAUUUCUAAAUUCAAAAACAAAUCAUAAAAUCAUAAAAUGUGAAAAUAGUAAGAAAUUGUGUAACAAGUUUUGUCAAAAAUAUUUUUAAGAAAUUAUAUUUAAAAAAUAUAUUAUGUAAUAAAACUUAGAAAUAUUGUAUACAUGUACACAGAUAGCAUUUGAUAUUACUCUACGUUCAAAAAUUGCACGCUACUGUGCCACAUUCCAAUUAAACUGCACUAAAAGCUAUAUAACGAAGAGAGAGACGACGAGAAUUGUUUAAUUUAGGUAAUAACGAAGUAUAGCUGGAAAAGUUAUGGCAUGCAAGAAUGUUAACCUCUUCAACUAAAAUUACAGACUACUUCAUUAUUGUUUUCGUGAUUACACUAACGUCGACGAACUCUACCGUUGAACUGCGCUGAUUGCACUUGAUUGUCUCGAAUGAAUAUUAUCUUCGUGUAUCAACUCGUUUUAAACGAUUAAAGUUUGAAUUGACAACUAUGUACCUUAAGUGAAGCGCGUUACACGCAUUCAUCGCCUUACCACGAACGGAAGCGGCAAUUACGUUAAUUAGCUUUCAUGGUGCAUUUUUAACGCGUGUUACAACGCCAUCUUGGUAAAAAAAGGUCAGGUAAAUCUGUCUUGCUUCUCUGGAUAAAAUACUACUCUUUAGAAAAAAAUGUAUAACUUAAUUGCUUGAUAAUUAUUUACGAAACGACUUAACUCUCUGAGGUUAAUGAUCUUGAGAUACACUGUCAAGGUCACGGAUAAUUUUUUACAUAACCAUUACUAAAGCCUAAUUUCAAAGAUAUGGAAAAUAUUUUGAAAUAAGUUACAUUUGGAUCAAAAAAUUAAUAUUAUAUUAAUAUGCGAUCAUUACAUAGCAUUAUAAUAUGAUGUUAUGUUUGACCUCGAUCAAUGAAUCGGUAAAUCGUAAAGGAUGAGAUUGUAAUUACCUUGUUCCAGAUACUAAUUGCUGUAAUAAAAUAUUUCCAUUUGCUUUAUUUGACUUUAAAGAUUGAGUUUCUAUACAUUAUCGUUUUUUAUUACCU